AUACGUAGGUGGCAAGCGUUGUCCGGAUUUAUUGGGCGUAAAGCGCGCGCAGGCGGCUAUGUAAGUCUGGUGUUAAAGCCCGGAGCUCAACUCCGGUUCGCAUCGGAAACUGUGUAGCUUGAGUGCAGAAGAGGAAAGCGGUAUUCCACGUGUAGCGGUGAAAUGCGUAGAGAUGUGGAGGAACACCAGUGGCGAAGGCGGCUUUCUGGUCUGUAACUGACGCUGAGGCGCGAAAGCGUGGGGAGCAAACAGGAUUAGAUACCCUGGUAGUCCACGCCGUAAACGAUGAGUGCUAGGUGUUGGGGGUUUCAAUACCCUCAGUGCCGCAGCUAACGCAAUAAGCACUCCGCCUGGGGAGUACGCUCGCAAGAGUGAA
rnacentral:rRNA from 1 species